rnacentral:lncRNA from 1 species
GCCUAAUUUGAACAUUUUAAGUUCUCUCUCAAGUUUAGACAUAACUGUUAUAAUUUAAAGCUUGCUCUAGACCUAAACUUGUGGGAUGAAAACUUGAUCUGAAGUCUAAGUUGUUAACGGAUAUGAUAUGGGAAGGUUGAGCUGUUGUUUAUCUGUUCCUAGAGAUGCUAGAAUUCUAGAGAAUUUUAUCUUUGAAAAUCUUUAAAAUGUUGCAUGAUGAGUUCCUGUAUGAUGAGAGUUUAAAUUCCUACCACAGCCAUAUAUACAUGCUUGCUAGACUUUGAGCCACACAUUUACUUUUUACUGCUUAUGGAGCUUGUCAUGUGGUUAAAUCAAGAUUUCACUUGCACGUUCACUCAUAUAUGCUACUUCUACUCCGGAAGUACCAUCCACAUAUAUCCAUCCAUUUCCAUCUCCAGAAUCACCCAAAAAUAUUCUACUCCUAAUCCGAGAGAGAAUAGCCAAAAUUAUUUCUGUUUUCCCUUGUGAAAUAAAUGCUCAAGUUAUCUUGUUACUACCACUUGCUACAUUAUCUCAAGAGUUGAGUGCUCUAAAAAAAUGAGGAAAUAAAAAGGAGCAAGUGCUCGGAACCUCGAAAGAAAAGAAAAAGUGAGACGAGAGUUAAAAAUAGACAAGUGUCCGACAGUAGAAUUAGGGGUACAAGAUACCCACCUGAGAGAAAAGAAAAUAUAGAGCAUCUCAUUCUCCUCAAAAAGUUCCAAAAAGCAAGAAAUGAAUGUAUCCCCUCAAAGAGCAAAAGUAGAAUUAGACUUUCACCGUUGUUAUCACCAUCAUCACCAUACACCAUUCAUUCGCCACACAUGCACAUCUUGAUUAAACUUAUUGAUUUGUUUCUUUGGAUCCAUGGUUUGACUAUACAAUAAAUGUCUUGUAAGUACGUAUACUUUAUUUCCCACCUAUGAGCUCUAGAUAUUAAAGCCUUAUUAGAGUAGGG